rnacentral:rRNA from 1 species
UACGAAGGGGGCUAGCGUUGCUCGGAAUCACUGGGCGUAAAGGGUGCGUAGGCGGGGCUUUAAGGCAGGGGUGAAAUCCUGGAGCUCAACUCCAGAACUGCCUUUGAUACUGAAGAUCUUGAGUUCGGGAGAGGUGAGUGGAACUGCGAGUGUAGAGGUUAAAUUCGUAGAUAUUCGCAAGAACACCAGUGGCGAAGGCGGCUCACUGGCCCGAUACUGACGCUGAGGCACGAAAGCGUGGGGAGCAAUCAGG